UACGGAGGGUGCGAGCGUUAUCCGGAUUUAUUGGGUUUAAAGGGUCCGUAGGCGGGUUUGUAAGUCAGUGGUGAAAUCCUACAGCUUAACUGUAGAACUGCCAUUGAUACUGCGAGUCUUGAGUUGAUGUGAAGUGGCUGGAAUGUGUAGUGUAGCGGUGAAAUGCAUAGAUAUUACACAGAACACCGAUAGCGUAGGCAGGUCACUAACAUUAUACUGACGCUGAGGGACGAAAGCGUGGGGAGCGAACAGG
rnacentral:rRNA from 1 species